rnacentral:misc_RNA from 2 species
AACGCACAUUGCGCCCCCUGGCAUUCCGGGGGGCAUGCCCGUUCGAGCGUCAUUACACCCAUCAAGCCUCGCUUGGUAUUGGGCCCCGGGGGCGACCCGGGCCCCCACGUCUCCGGCGGGAGCGCCCCGAGCCCAGCGUUGUGGCACAUCAGUGUUCGCUGGCGGCGACGGGCCUCUCACGCCGUUAAACCCACCUUCUCAAGGUUGACCUCGGAUCGGGUAGGGAUACCCGCUGAACUUAA